ACAUAGAAUACAUGCAGGGUAUUGUGAAAGUGUUACUGAAUUGGCAGUAGCAAAGGAAAAUCUGGCUGAAGGUGAAUCAUCGUUAUUACAGUGGGGUCCUGAAUUCAUGAGCCAGCCCCUUAAGAGCACAGAGCUCAGAGCCCAGAUGACUGAGCUACAGAGACCAAUACCUGCAGAAUGUGCUUCGUCUCUUUCUAACAUAAUUCCUCC
rnacentral:lncRNA from 1 species